CUGUUAUCUACUGGUCCUAGACCUGCUAACCCUAACCCCAACCCUCCCUGUUCGUCUCCAGGUCUCUGGUCCCCCUGUCUGUUAUCUACUGGUCCUAGACCUGAUAAUCCUAACCCCAACCAUCCCUGUUCGUCUCCAGGUCCCUGGUCCCACUGUCUGUUAUCUACUGGUCCUAGACCUGAUAACCCUAACCCCAACCAUCCCUGUUCGUCUCCAGGUCCCUGGUCCCACUGUCUGUUAUCCUGGUUGUUCUACUGGUCCUAGACCUGCUGUCUGCCAAGAUGGGUCAGCUCAAACUACUGGUCUCAGAACAGUUCUACAACGACAACGCAGACCAGAGGGUGCAGCAACUUCAUGCUAUGAUCAGCCACAAAAGAGCCAAGACGAGGCCUCCAACGAAGAGGACUGCUCUGCUGAGACUGCUAAAACAAAAAAGCUUCUGGUUUCCACUGUUCUUCCACACUGCGAAGGAGAUAUGCGUCUCACCUGAAGAAAUCCAAAACAGUGAUCAUCUGGGAAAUUGAUUUUUGCUUUGUCAUGCAUUCAGGCAAUCACCUGUAGAAUUACUUAAAGACCUAGGACUAGAUUCAAUUUUGUUUUGAAUUACAUUGCUAUUUUGUGUAAAUGUUGCACAAAGAUCAACAGUUUAUUCUAUUCGCUGUAAAUAUGUCUUGUAUUAUAAACAAAUUUCUAUAGUUAGUGUUUGAAUAAGUUUGUUGUACAAAGGAUUGGGCUCCAAAACUAUCACAAAUAUGGCUUUGACUUCAUUAAAGUAAAUAUCGGAGUAAUCUUCUCUGAUUUGCUUUGAUGUUGUCUUUAUGAAUAAGAUACAGUUGAAGUCGCAAGUUUGCAUACACCUUAGCCAAAUACAUUUAAACUCCGUUUUUACCAAUUCCUGACAUUUAAUCCUAAUAAAAAUUCCCUGUCUUAAGUCAGUUAGAAUAAUAGUAGAGAUAAUUAUUUUUUUUCAUCUUUUAUUUCUUUCAUCACGAUGGUCAUUAUGGCCAAAUAGUUAAAUUCUUGUUUCAUCAGACAGGAGGACAUUUCUCCAAAAAGUACGAUCUUUGUCCCCAUGUGCAGUUGCAAACCAUAGUCUGGCUUUUUAUGGCUGUUUUGAAGCAGUGGCUUCUUCCUUGCUGAGCGGCCUUUCAAGUUAUGUCGACAUAGGACUUGUUUUACUGUGGAUAUAGAUACUUUGUACCUGUUUCCUCCAGCAUUUUCACAAGGUCCUUUUCUGUUGUUCUGGUAUUGAUUUGAACUUUUCGCACCAAAGUACAUUCAUCUCUAGGAGACAGAAUGCGUCUCCUUCCUGAGCGGUAUGACGGCCGCGUGGUCCAUGGUGUUUAUACUUGCAUACUAUUGUUUGUACAGAUGAACGUGGUACCUUCAUGCGUUUGGAAAUUGCUCCCAAGGAUGAACCAGACAUGUGGAGAUCUACAAUUUUUUUUCUGAGGUCUUGGGUGAUUUCUUUUGAUUUCCCAAUGAUGUCAAGCAAAGAGGAACUGAGUUUGAAGGUAGGGCUAGAAAUACAUACACAGGUACACCUCCAAUUGACUCAAAUGAUGUCAAUUAGCCUAUCAGAAGCUUCAAAAGCCAUUACAUAAUUUUCUGGAAUUUUCCAAGAUGUUUAAAGGCACAGUCAACUUAGUGUAUGUAAACUUAUGACCCACUGGCAUUGUGAAAAGUGAAAUAAUCUGUCUGUAAACAAUUGUUGGAAAAAUGACUUGUGUCAUGCACAAAGUAGAUGUCCUAACGACUUGCCAAAACUAUAGUUUGUUAACAAGAAAUGUGUGGAGUGGUUGAAUUAAUGACUCCAACAUAAGUGUAUGAAAACUUCUGACUUCAACUGUACAUGCAUUUAAAUUGUGCUCUAACGCUCAUAAAUAUGCCUUUGAUUUCAUUAAAGUAAACCUCAAACAUAAAGCAAUAUUCUCUUUUUUAUUGUCUUUAUAUGCAUUACAAUGGCAACGGCAAUGUCUUCCAACUGCAAGAAGUCCUCUAGCAAUGUCUGAUCUUUUACUUAUGUGUUUUGUUAGACAACUUUUUAGGCUUUCAAGGUGUUGGUCUGAUGGGGAUCUGUGACGUCAUCUUGUUUGAGGAACAAUAAAUAACAAAAGAGGAUAGCCCCAACUGUGCCAUGCCAUGAUUUACCUGGACCACCUGUUGAGAUGUGCCUCUUGUUAAGUAGCCUACCUGGUUAAAUAAAGGUGAAAUAUAUAUAUCUUUUUUUAAGUAAGUGCCAUUUUACUAAAAUAAAAAGCAAUAUAUUUACAUUCACCUCUCAAACUGUUUACAGUAAACAGAGCUAAAACAACUAUCUAGGUUUGUUGCAUAAGAAAUUAAUAAAUAG
ensembl:lncRNA